UUGGAGGGCAAGUCUGGUGCCAGCAGCCGCGGUAAUUCCAGCUCCAAUAGCGUAUAUUAAAGUUGUUGCAGUUAAAAAGCUCGUAGUUGAAUUUCGGGGUUCUUCCGUUGGUCAGGCUAACAAGUCUGUACUAGCGUGUAGAAUCUCUACCUUCUGGGGAACCAUCAUGUUAUUAAUUUAGCGUGGUGGGAAACCAGGACCUUUACCUUGAAAAAAUCAGAGUGUUCAAAGCAGGCUUACGUCUGAAUACAUUAGCAUGGAAUAAUAAAAUAGGACGGUGGUCCUGUUUUGUUGGUUUCUGAAUCACCGUAAUGAUUAAUAGGGAUAGUUGGGGGCAUUAGUAUUCAAUUGUCAGAGGUGAAAUUCUUGGAUUUAUUGAAGACUAACUAUUGCGAAAGCAUUUGCCAAGGAUGUUUUCAUUAAUCAAGAACGAAAGUUAGGGGAUCGAAGACGAUCAGAUACCGUCGUAGUCUUAACCAUAAACUAUGCCGACUAGGAAUCGGGCGUCGUUAUUUUCACGACUCGUUCGGCGCCUUACGGGAAAC
rnacentral:rRNA from 1 species